rnacentral:rRNA from 1 species
UACAGAGACUGCAAGCGUUAUUCGGAUUCACUGGGCGUAAAGGGUGCGCAGGCGGCCAAGUGUGUGAGGCGUGAAAGCCCGGGGCUUAACUCCGGAAUUGCACCUCAAACUACUUGGCUAGAGCAUUGGAGAGGGUAGCAGAAUUCACGGUGUAGCAGUGAAAUGCGUAGAUAUCGUGAGGAAUACCAGAGGCGAAGGCGGCUACCUGGACAAUUGCUGACGCUCAGGCACGAAAGCGUGGGGAGCAAAAGGG